CCCAAGAAGGGCUCUAAGAAGGCGGUAACGAAGACACAGAAGAAGGGCGACAAGAAGCGCAAGAAGAGCCGCAAGGAGAGCUACUCGAUCUACGUCUACAAGGUGCUGAAGCAGGAGCACCCCGACACGGGCAUCUCGUCCAAGGCCAUGGGCAUCAUGAACUCCUUCGUCAACGACAUCUUCGAGCGCAUCGCCGGCGAGACCUCGCGCCUCCUGGCGCCCUACAACAAGCGCUCGACCAUCACGUCGCGGGAGAUCCAGACGGCGGUGCGGCUCCUGCUGCCCGGCGAGCUGGCCAAGCACGCUGUCUCCGAGGGCACCAAGGCUGUCACCAAGUACACCAGCUCCAAGUAGAGCGUCUGGGCUCAUCAGUUUUAA